GGAAGAGAAGGAGGAGGAGGAGGAGGAGGAGAAAGUGGCUCUCAGCGGCCGGUCGGAUUAAAAGUAACCAGACUCGUCCAGAAAACUGCGUCCAGGAAGGAAGUGACAGAAGACGAAUGGGAAAAGGAGAACAGCUCACAGCGUUUGAAACAUCGCGGCACCACUUUCAGAUAAAAACAUAGACCUGAAUGGCAUCAUCCAGUAUCCAAGGAAACCAUGCUUGCUUGAAGAGUGAGCAGGUGAGCAAAGAGACAAGAUUACAUGUUUAAACCAAGAAAAGAAUCUUGAAAAAGCAUUGAAAAGAACAACUUUCAAGUCAAAAGAAUCAAGGUGAAGAGAAUGGAUACUCAUGCCCAUGUGAAUUUGCUGCCCCAAGUCUACUGGAGGAUCAAGCUGCAGGUUUCAAUAGCUAUAGCCUGAAGAAUCUCUGUAAUGAACUAAAACAAUCAGUAAAAGAUCAGUUGCAGUGGAAGACAUUAUACUCUAGAUUUUUCUAGUAUUAUUAAAUUUGAAAAUGAUUUAUUCCAAAUUUUAACUUAGCUUUUAAUUUUACUAGUGUCAAAAUGUUGUACUACUUUGGACAACUGAUUUUUCCAAUAGAGAGUCAAUAGCAUCUUUGCAGGGUGGUUUAAAAGCCAAUAAUUUAAUCCAUAUUCUACUAAAACUUUUAAUAUAAGCAUUUUACCCAGAUGUAUUUUUUCCUUGUUUUAGAAAAUCUGAUUUUAAUUGCUAAAACUCGUUUUUAAAUAUUAAUUCAAUGAAAGAAAUGCUAUGGUUUUCUACUUUUUCAUUUCUUAAACUCAAGGGAAAACAUGGGUGAAAAACAAAAAAUUGUUCUGCAUAGAGUCUUCUUUAAUGUCUCACUUUGGUGAUGUAUGAAAUAAAAACCAAAUUGUUUUAACCAGCUAA
rnacentral:lncRNA from 1 species